rnacentral:lncRNA from 1 species
CAGAGCAAGUUAUGUCACAAUCGUGACCUCUGGCCUGUCCUCUUUGCCAUUUGAGCGAGGAGCUCAGAUGUCAAUCAGGUCUUUCAAUAAUCUAGCUUUUAUUCCUUACUUUCUAAAACCUCCCAAGGACUGAGGACCUCCUUCUCCUGCUUCUGGGAGUCCAUACUGGGAGCACUACUAGCAGGGACAAAAGGGGGUGCAGUGGGUGUACCUCGGUGUGCCAUGUCGCCAGCCACCCAGGAUCAAGCAUGUCAGAGGUCCACACAAAAACAAAAGGAGAAGGGGGAGGAUGGAAGAGAAGAAAGGCAGGAGGAAAGUCAAAGUCUGAGCAGUUUCCUGGAGACAGGUGGACAGGAGAAGAUCCAGCCUGAAGGAGAAGAUAUUAGCCAUGACAGUGGCCGUGGGGCUCUUCUCGAACUACCAUGGAAAUCUCUGGGUCCCUCUGGAGUGAAGAUGAGCAUCCUAGUGUUGAGAAGCCAUUUUGAUAGGCUCUCCAGACAGAUUUCCAUUUUAAUGGAUGUGUCAGGGCGUCAAAAUAUCUGUGUUGCCUUCAAUCCUCAUUAAAAUGGAAGCCCAUUGCCACAGGGCGCAGAGGAGGUGUGUUGCAUAAUUUAUUGUUUUUG